GGCCGGCCUUGAGAGGCCGAUCGCUGGCGAGGACGGGCAGGACAACUCACCCCCUACCCUCCUCCCCUUCUUUCAUGCGGUUAGAUCUGCGGAGAAAGCUCCGCUUCAGCCUCCUCGUACCAAACAUCGUUCUUUGCCAGCGUACAACGUAGGAGUUUUCACUUGGGGUUUCUGCGGUAAUCUUGUGUGUUGAGGAGCUGUUUAUUGCUUAGGGGAGGAGGGAGUGACAGCGGGGAAUCUGCGGAACGUUUCUGCUCCGUCUUCUGAGCAGGUUGGAUUAUGUAACCUGGAGAGCAAUAUUCAGCUGACAAUCUGUGUCUUCUGCCUGAAAGAUGGAAUUUUCUUAAAGGUGACUUGAUGAACGGUACCCUUGCCUUAAUCCUGAGGAAAAAUGAUCCCUCCUGCAAAACUACAUCCUUUCUUGCACACCUCUGCUCAUCUAUCAGACAGCUACAGAUCAAAUUCUUUGUGGCACAACAAGAAAAGUUUGAUGUAAUGAGUCCUUCAGAAUAACACUCGGAUUCACCUGAUUUUCAAGCAGAUGGCAUUCAGGGCACAGAAAACA